rnacentral:rRNA from 1 species
UACGGAGGGUGCAAACGUUGCUCGGAAUCAUUGGGCGUAAAGCGCACGUAGGCGGCGCGUUAAGUCGGGUGUGAAAGCCCUGGGCUCAACCCAGGAAGUGCAUUCGAAACUGGCGCGCUUGAAUAUGGAAGAGGGUCGCGGAAUUCCCGGUGUAGAGGUGAAAUUCGUAGAUAUCGGGAGGAACACCAGUGGCGAAGGCGGCGACCUGGGCCAAUAUUGACGCUGAGGUGCGGAAGCGUGGGGAGCAAACAGG